rnacentral:tRNA from 1 species
UCCCGCUUAGCUCAGUUGGUUAGAGCAUCGGACUGUUAAUCCGAGUGUCGCUGGUUCGAGUCCAGCAGCGGGAG